rnacentral:tRNA from 1 species
AAGAGAGAAGCAUUAAUCGGUUGUGCGACUAGCUUGAAACUAGGGGGAGGGGGUUCGAGUCCUCUAUCUCUUA